AAUUUAACUGUGCAAUUCAGUUUAAUUUGAUAAUUAAAAUCUUACUUAUUUUAAUUUAAUUUAUUU
rnacentral:tRNA from 1 species